rnacentral:rRNA from 1 species
GACAGAGGGUGCAAACGUUGUUCGGAAUUACUGGGCGUAAAGCGCGUGUAGGCGGUCGCGUAAGUCGGAUGUGAAAGCCCUCGGCUCAACCGGGGAAGUGCACCCGAAACUGUGCGACUGGAGUCCCGGAGAGGAUAGUGGAAUUCUCGGUGUAGAGGUGAAAUUCGUAGAUAUCGAGAGGAAUACCUGUGGCGAAGGCGGCCAACUGGACGAGUACUGACGCUGAGACACGAAAGCGUGGGGAGCAAACAGG